rnacentral:rRNA from 1 species
GACGAACGCUGGCGGCGUGCUUAACACAUGCAAGUCGAACGGAAAGGCCCUGCUUUUGUGGGGUGCUCGAGUGGCGAACGGGUGAGUAACACGUGAGUAACCUGCCCUUGACUUUGGGAUAACUUCAGGAAACUGGGGCUAAUACCGGAUAGGAGCUCCUGCUGCAUGGUGGGGGUUGGAAAGUUUCGGCGGUUGGGGAUGGACUCGCGGCUUAUCAGCUUGUUGGUGGGGUAGUGGCUUACCAAGGCUUUGACGGGUAGCCGGCCUGGGAGGGUGACCGGCCACAUUGGGACUGGGGAACGACCCGGGCGCCAACGGGGGGCAGCGGUGGGGAAUAUUGCACAAUGGGCGGAGGCCUGAUGCAGCAACGCCGGGUGCGGGAUGACGGCCUUCGGGUUGUAAACCGCUUUCGCCUGUAACGAGGCGUGAGUGACGGAAAUGGGUAAAGAAGCACCGGCAAACUACGG